AGGGAAUCUUCCACAAUGGACGCAAGUCUGAUGGAGCAACGCCGCGUGAGUGAAGAAGGCUUUCGGGUCGUAAAACUCUGUUAUUGAAGAAGAACGUGCGUGACAGUAACUGGUCAUGCAGUGACGGUAUUCAAUCAGAAAGUCACGGCUAACUACGUGCCAGCAGCCGCGGUAAUACGUAGGUGGCAAGCGUUGUCCGGAUUUAUUGGGCGUAAAGCGAGUGCAGGCGGUCUUUUAAGUCUGAUGUGAAAGCCUUCGGCUUAACCGAAGAAGGGCAUCGGAAACUGGGAGACUUGAGUGCAGAAGAGGAGAGUGGAACUCCAUGUGUAGCGGUGAAAUGCGUAGAUAUAUGGAAGAACACCAGUGGCGAAGGCGGCUCUCUGGUCUGUAACUGACGCUGAGGCUCGAAAAGCGUGGGUAGCAAACAGGAUUAGAUACCCUGGUAG
rnacentral:rRNA from 1 species